CUCUCCUGACAGAACUUCAGGCCAUUCCCUCAAGUCCCAUCGCUGGUCACCACAGAGAAAAGAUUGGUCUGUUGCUGUACCCUGCUGCAAGAUCUCCCCUCAGUCUCAUCUAGGCUGAACAGACCAAAUACCCUCAGCUGCUCCUCAUACAGCUGCUUUUCCAGACCCUUCCCCAUCCCCAUUGUCCUCCCUUGGGCACUCUCUAGUAGCUUUAAUAUCUGUAUUAUACUGUUGUGAUGAGGCACCACACAGCCACUGGCUGCCCCCCUCCAACUGCAGUGGAAUGGGGAGAAGAAUCAACUCUAAAACUUACAGGUUGAGGUAAUAGCAGUCUAAUAAUAGAAAACAUAGUAAAAUACAAUAAUAAUAAUGGUAAGUAAUAAUUAUGAAAACAAAUAGGAAAAAAAACCAAAUAACUGAUGCCCAAUAAAAUUACUCACUGCCUGCUGACCAAUGUCAAACCCUUUCUAGGUAACUCUCCCAGUUAAUCUACUGGGCAUAAUGUUCCGUGGUGUGGAAUAUCCCUUUGGGCAGUUUGGGUCACCUGUCCUGGUUGUGGUCCUUCACUGUUUCUUUUCUGUACCUCCUAACUGGCAGACACAAGACACCAAAAAUAAAUCCUUGACUUAAGGUACAACAACUUAGAAAAAAAUAAAACAGUGGUGUACUAUCAGCAUUAUUCUCAUUCUGAAUCCAAAACACAACAUUGUAUCAAAUACUGAGAAGAAAUUAACUCCAACUCAGUUGAAACCAAGAAAGGCAGUUUUAGGGACUGCAGGAAAGUUCCAGAUGAUCCGGGGUAGGAAAGGGGAUCACUCCCUUUGGCUGGUUAAGUUCAUUUCUCUCUAGGGCCAACAGAGCUCCUUGCCCCCCUUGUACCAGUCUUCUACAACUUCCUCCUCUUUGCUCCCUAUCCCCUAUUCAUUAUCCAGUUAGAAGAAAGUCCAAGCCAGAGAACUGUCCCUUCCUCCUGCUUCUCUGGAGCUUUGUUAUCCUACUCCUGAGGACCAAGAGUCCCUCCAGAACUAAACACAGGGUCAGGCUCCACAUGCCAUGCACACCCUUACCUUGACCCAUCAGCCCCUGGACAGCUGGGAGCCAUCUCAGGUUCACUGUAUGAGUCAACAGCAUUGGGAAUCUAAUUUAUCUACACUUUCAGCCAACUCCAAAAUCGAUUAAUAACUUGCCAGCAUAUUUUAGUGCUUACUGUAUUUUCUCCACAAGAGAAACAACACAAGUAGUUCUUGUGUCAGAUCAAGUUCAUGAUUAGGUAACAGAGACAAAUUUUGGAAAACAGCCCUUUGUGCUCAAUCUCUUAAUCUGAAUUAAAAUGGGUAAUAGAGAUGAUAGGUGAAGUCUGGACCUUAUAAGAAGCUGGUAGACAGCAGGUGGUUUUGUGGCCAACAAUUCAGGCUUUCACUGCAGUUGUACUCUGGUCAUAAUCCUGCAUUUUAUGAGUGCAAAACAGAUUCACAAAACAUAAGCUAUGGCCACUUCAGAUUUUGAGACAAGAAGAAAUUAGUGUCCAUAUUGGCUGAACAGCCUGUAAAAAUAUUGCAAAAAUUCACACCCAUCUUUGAGAAGCCAGUACAACUCCUCUGGAGAGGAGACACCAGUUUAUGCUCCAUUUGUGUGUCACCUCGUGGCCUGAAGCUGCCUCGGUAUGACUCAGUUGUUCAGCAGCACAAUGCUUGCUCUAUGGCAACACUUUUUUUGAUUGCUUUUAGAUGAUCAUACUCUGAUUCUGUAGCCAGUCUCACCUCUGGAAUAUUCUGUAAAAGUUGAUGAUUAGGAGACAGUUUUUGGAACUGUUUCUGGUAGAGUUUUCUGCUUCACACACACUAUUUCCCCACCAAUAUGAAAUCUAUUCUCUAAAUAGUGUGUAUGUUUAUGCUGCUGUGGGAUGGUUUAGUGGGAAUUAUUUCUUCACGUGUGAUUGUUCUCCUUUGACCAGCACACUUAAAAGCUCCUCAAGAGUCUGUAAGUCUAUGAAUAUGAGCGUGAACAUGAAAGGCUGAGGAGCAGGAGGGGCAACCUCUUUCCUGCAACAUUUAUUGUCAUGUCAUCCCUUCUAGAAAUCUGUCAAUCUGUUUGGAACUUAGGUAGAAGAUCAAAAGCAGUAACACACUUUUAUCUUUUCACUCUGAACUACUAUAAGAGCACUCAAAUGCUGAUUUCUGUGGAGGAAUGGAAGUAUAUCUUAUACUAUCUAUAUUAUUUCUGCAUGCUCUUCUAAGACCCUGGCAUUUUCAUCUGGGGACCUCUUGUGUUUCUCUGGCUGUGUCAUGACAACAGAAUGUUUCAUAAGUUUAAUGUUAAAAGCUUUAUGAGGAGCUUUUUCAGUUAGGAUCAAAAGAUCCUUUCAAGAAGGCUUUUUAAACUUAUAGUUAUGCUUUUCUUGCAGAAUUUUAGGGCAAUGAUUUAAAAACAGUGUUUAAAAACUUAGUUAAGCAGUAUUUUCAACAAAACUUAAACAGAUCUACUCAUUAAAUUAUGUAUUGAGAAACUGAUAAUUCAAUGUGUACAAGGUCUUUCUGGGCCUCUCAAGCUCUCAGGUAGCUAUGGAAAACCAGAUGACUCUUCUCACAUCAUUGAAUGAUUUGUCCAAUUUUUCUGGAAAAUUGUAACCUUUUAAUGAGUGAGUGUUACCCUCUCAUAAGCCCUUGCCAGUCAUCUGAAAGUAGGUUUCAGUCAUUUUUAAGCACUUUGGUUUUUUCAGUAGAUAGAGUUUUUCCACUUACCUUAAGGGACAAGGUUUCCACCUGAUGCCAGGACAGCUAAUUCCGGCCAUUAGCACCUGCCAUGCUUUCACUGCUGGGCUGUCAGUGCAAUCCAUGCCUUUUCCAUCUCUGUGUUCUAUGCUGAAUUUCCCCAAAUAAUGAGGGUGAGGGAAGAAGGGCAAAGAAUGCAAACUGGUUAAGUAGCAUUAGGGUCUGUGUAUGUUUAAGAAGUUACUGGUAUUUUUCAUUCAGCCUCAAACUGCAGUUCAUCUUAGAAAAUCCCACUGAACAAAGGAUGGCAUAUUACUGAGUGGGAUGUAAAAACUACAUAGCUUUACUCAUCUCCAUCUCUCUGAUUAUGUGAUGCAAAAGAAAGAAUAGAAUUACAUAAAGAUCUGUGUUACAGAAGGAAUGCUCCUAUUUCCUGUGAUGAGUUUUUGAUAUCAUGUAAGAAAAUGACAUCUCUUAUCCACAAAGGUAUUUUCCCCUUACUUGAUGUCAGAAGGAAGGAAACCCCCAACCAGUCCCCUGCGAGGCAUCCCACAGUGCCUAUGAUAACGCACACUAUGGUCUUCUGCCUUUUCCUAUAUGAGAAAACUUUCCCUUUCAUCUAAUAUUCAAGGUAUAUAUAGGCAGAGUAUGGUGUAUAAAUCAAACACAGCUUUCCUUGAACCCAAAAUGUCGUUGCUCUAUAUCUUUUUGGUGAGUUGCUGCUUACCUGGCUCAAUGGGAGGUGCUGUAGAAGAAUUUCAAGAAAACCUCAAGGCUCUAGUGGCUCUAGCAAACAAAGAGGUGGGUCAUUAUCACUUUUUCUUAAUUUCCUACAGUUCUUUUGAUGGAAAUAGAGAAUGAAGUCUGGGUUAGUUUCAGCUCUACUUUGUAUGUCCUGUGUUUUGUUUGUUAAAGUUGAGAUGCUCGAGGCACUGCAUGUCAAGCUUUCCUCAGAAGCUGGUCUGUAAUUGUUUCCCCAAAGGAAGUUCAGAAAUAGAAAACCUGAUGAAGAUGAUAUGUAGUUCAAGAUGUUUAACAAUGUGGCAGUCACUUAGAGAAGAAAUAUCUUCUAACAGUAUAUUCUUGUUAAUUUUUUUAGAUCUUUCUUCCAGUACCCAAGGGGAAAUUUCAGUGCAGUCAUGUUCCCUGUCAACUUGAACGAACCAUAGAAGGACUGAAAGUUUCCUUUAAGAAUAAUUCAGCAGGAACCCAUAUUUCUCUGAUGGAGAAAAACAUGGAUCACAUUACAUCAACUUUAAAGAAAACACAUAUACAACCAGAGAACACCAUAUCCUGUCUGAUAAGGUACCUGCCUCGACAGAGAGCCCUGAACCACUUCACAAAAUAUUUCCAGAGCAUGCAUGAGAACUGCUGGGAGUCCUGAUAACAGGUGUUGGCACCCCAAAUACUUGGAGACAACUCUUACCCAACACUAGAGCUGAUUCUGAUGGAAGACAGACCACCACAAAGAGACACCACAAAGAGUUAACAUGAAUGUUUAAUAUAUGAAUUAUUAACCUAUUUAUUUAAUUUAUAGAGAACCUUUAUAUUUUUACCCUAAUGUUCAAUGUAACCAUGAAUAAAAUAACUUAAAA